rnacentral:lncRNA from 1 species
UCAUUCUAGUGUUAGGUAAUAUAUUGUCUGGGCUAGGUGAACGUGGCAUGAUAAGCAUAGCAUCAGGUGUGCUGUCUCUUUUAAUUGUGUUCAUUUCAGAAGGACUGAUUAGGAUGCUGUGGUGUAAUUGCCUGAAGUAACUAGGAAAAUAAAACUAACAUUGACAUUUUUAAGGAAAAGGUACAGCAUUGAAGAGGCUUUCAGGGUAGGGCAUAACUGCAUUACCUGAGCAUUCCCUAGACUCCCAACCUUAGAUGCUAUCGCGCUGGGGAAACUUGGUGUGCUAGCUCUAAGGAACACCACGGAGCAUAGAGUGGAGUGGAGACACCAUGGCUAGGCUCUGUAACCAGGUGGGAACUCUAUUGUUCUUGUGCACAAAGCUGCACAUUUUGCCACCCUGAGCCAAAGACCUGUCAUGUUUUGACAAAUGCUGUACCCUAGUGUACUUUUUGCUCAUUAUAAUAUCAUUAUAAUAACAAAACACACCUCCAUCCCAAAAGCUACCCGCCUCCAAGGUGCGACCACCCCUCACUGAGCAUGUGCCCUGAAUUUCUCGGAGCAUAUUACUUUAAACAGAGACGGGAAAACUUUACACCAAUCAUAACUAAGAUAUGCUUGACUAGAGUCACUCAAGCUCCACCUAAAAGAUAGAAAAUAAUAUAAAUUGGCCCAAGAAAGAGGGGAUGUCAGGGAAGAUACCACCGUCAGGGGAGAUACCAUCCAGAGGAAAUACAACAUCCUUAGGACCUCCUGACUCCUGGGAUCAGUCGACGAGCUGAGCCUCUCUUCCCCCUCAUUGGGAUGCCUUUGGGAAAGCUAAAUGUAUUGGAACAGAUUCCUCCAGCUGUGUUUGGCUUGCUUGAAUUGUUGGACAGGUCUAAAAAGAAACUGGAAGCUGGCUGCUGUUGCCCAUUCAAGAUUUCCCCUGAGGUACAGAAUCAUUCUCUCCUAUUCACUGUGUUGACUGAAGGAGGGAGUCCUAAGAUAUGUCCCAGGAGAAAUCCGGUGUGAGGCUGGGGACAUUGCAAUGUAUAUGGAUUGGCUUGCACAUGGACAUUGCAUUGAAGUGGACUUCCCUCACAGAAUCACAGAAUGGCCAAGAUUGAAAGGGACCUCUGAAGAUCAUCUAGUCUGACCUCCCUGCCAAGCACACUGAGCACAUUGCUAGAGCACAUUGCUCAGGAUGGCAUCCAGGCAGCAUUUGAAUAUCUACAGAGAAGGAGACUCCACUGCCUAGGCAACUUGUUCCAGUGCUCUGUCACCCUCACAGUAAAGAAGUGCCCCCUCAUAUUCAGCCAGAACCUUCUGUGCUUCAGUUUGUGCCCAUUGUCUCUCGUCCUGUAGCUGGACACAACUGAAAAGAGACUGGCUCCAUCCUCUUGACACCCUCCCCUCAGAUAUUUAUAUAUACAUUAAUGAGGUCAGUCUUCUCUUUUCCAGGCUAAACAGGUCCAGCUCUCUAAGCCUGCCAUCACACUACAGACCUCUAAUUGUCUUUAUAGCCUUCCCUUGAACUUGCUCCAGUAGUUCUAUGUCGCUCUUGUACUGGGUAGCCCAGAACUGGACACAAUACUCACAUUCCAGUUCAAAAGUAAGUAGAUUCU